UCAUGCGUGAACUGUAUAUCCGGAUGGUAGCUGUUAAGUUUAUUUAAAAUCAACCAUCUGAUAUUAACUUGAUUUUAAAUAAACUUAACAGCUACCAUCCGGAUAUACAGUUCAC
rnacentral:miRNA from 1 species